rnacentral:rRNA from 1 species
CGCUGGCGGCGUGCCUAAUACAUGCAAGUCGAGCGAAUGAUUAGAGAAGCUUGCUUCUCUCUGAUUAGCGGCGGACGGGUGAGUAACACGUGGGUAACCUACCCUAUAGACUGGGAUAACUUCGGGAAACCGGAGACUAAUACCGGAUAAUACUUCGAAACACAUGUUUUGGAAGUUGAAAGAUGGUUUCGGCUAAUCACUAUAGGAUGGACCCGCGGCGCAUUAGCUAGUUGGUGAGGUAACGGCUCACCAAGGCAACGAUGCGUAGCCGACCUGAGAGGGUGAUCGGCCACACUGGGACUGAGACACGGCCCAGACUCCUACGGGAGGCAGCAGUAGGGAAUCUUCCACAAUGGACGAAAGUCUGAUGGAGCAACGCCGCGUGAAGUGAAGAAGGAUUUCGGUUCGUAAAACUCUGUUGCAAGGGAAGAACAAGUAGCGUAGUAACUGGCGCUACCUUGACGGUACCUUGUUAGAAAGCCACGGCUAACUACGUGCCAGCAGCUGC